rnacentral:rRNA from 1 species
GAGUUUGAUCGUGGCUCAGAUUGAACGCUGGCGGUAUGCUUAACACAUGCAAGUCGAACGGUAACAGGAGAGAGCUUGCUCUUUUGCUGACGAGUGGCGGACGGGUGAGUAAUGCGUAGGAAUCUGCCUAGUAGUGGGGGACAACGUGUGGAAACGCACGCUAAUACCGCAUACGCCCUACGGGGAAGCGGGGAGUCUUCGGACCUCGGCGCUAUUAGUAUGAGCCUACGUUAGAUUAGCUAGUUGGUGGGUAAGGCCUACCAAGGCGACGAUCUAUAGCUGGUCUGAGAGGAUGAUCAGCCACACUGGGACUGAGACACGGCCCAGACUCCUACGGGAGGCAGCAGUGGGGAAUAUU